GGAUGUGGGGCUGAUCCGGAUACAACAUCUGUCACCCCAUGGUUGCCAGGGUUGAUUUGGCUGGCUUUGGCGGGUGCCCUGUUCCUCACAGGUCCAUGGAUGUCCUUCCUGAAGUUGCUUGCUCACAGAAGACGAAGACAUCCCCUGACUAGAAGGGGACCCGUCCUUCAUUAAGGAUAUGUGAGUGACUGUGCUCCCCUGCUAGAGCCUCCAAAUAAGUUCUCAAGAGUUGAAGGCCUGCAUCUGCUGUAUAGGCUAUGCAAUCUCACUUCAGAAAAGAAUUAUGUCAUAAGACAGUAUUUGGUUGUUUUUA
rnacentral:snRNA from 1 species